GUGACAGCAACAUGGCGGCGGCGGCGGCCGGGCGGCGUGGCGGGGGCUUGGGGCGGCCCCCCGCGCCCGGGCGGGACGGGCCGCCCGCCGCCGAGCUGGUGCGGCCCUCGGUCACCGAGCUGUCCCAAGUGCGGACCAACAUCCUGUGCACCGUGCCCGGCUGCGGGAAGGUGCUGCCCAACAGUCCGGCCCUCAACAUGCACCUCAGCAAGGCGCACCCGCUGCAGGAUGGAAAACUUAAUGCACCAAUAAGGAAGGGGUUGAAAACUUCACAGAAAUUCUACUGCUGUCCUAUUGAAGGCUGCCCUAGAGGACCAAACAGACCAUUUUCCCAAUUUUCUCUUGUAAAACAGCACUUUAUGAAAAUGCAUGCCGAAAAGAAGCACAAAUGUGAUAAAUGUAGUAACUCCUACGGUACAGAAUGGUAUUUGAAACGGCAUAUAGAGGUCUGUGGCAAGACUUUCCAGUGUACUUGUGGGUGCCCCUAUGCCAGCAGAACAGCACUGCUGUCUCACAUUUACAGAACUGGCCAUGAAAUCCCUGCAGAACACAGGGAUCCUCCCAGUAAGAAAAGGAAAAUGGAAACCUCUGCACACAAUCAGCAGCUGGCAGAGAAAGCAAACGAAGCGUUCAUCAGUACCCACAGUAAUGCUCCUGGCACUCAGGAACUGGAGUCCUCUGAAGUGAAAGCAGUGGCCUCUCUUGAAGGCUCCCACAGCUCUAACUUCACAAACCAAAUGCAGCCCAAAUGCACCCCCAAGAUGCUUUUGCCCAAGCCCAAGGUGGCUUUGGUUAAAGUCCCGGUGAUGCAGGUUGCUCACUUGCCUGUUUAUGUGUCUGCAACAGACCCUUCUGUCAAACCUGCUGUAGUGGCUGUUGAUAAUCAAGGCUCAGUUGUAAGUACUGUUCAUUUGUUGCCUCAGUCCAUAGGAAUUCUGAUUCCAGCCCUGGAGGCAGAGACCCUUGUGUUUAAGGACAGUAUGCCUGUGUCAAAAGUGACAAGUGCUGGUGAUCGAGAGCCUGUGAGCACUGGUGUGCAAGUGGAGCUGGACAAGGUCACACCGACUAACACAGGGCAAGAGAUGGGCACUGUUUGUCACAAGAACAAAAUUUCUUCUAUAAAUAUACAGACUGACUUAUCUUAUAUUUCACAGAACUUUGUCCCAGCUGCAGCCUGGACUCCCAACUCUUGUGUGUCCUCUUGCUCUCAGACAGAUCUGUCCUUCAGCUCCCAGGUUUCCUUGCCCAUCAGUGUCCAGACACAGACACUGCUGCCUGCUUCCAAACUGACUUCAUCCAUUGCUGCUCAGACUGAUGCUUUCAGUCAGGGGUGUUUCCCAACAUGUGGAGUUUCUAGAGAGACUCAAACCAGUAGGACACAGGACUGUAUUGAUGGAAGAGUUCAGAUGGACCAGGCUGUCAUGUGCAGUGACAUCUUUGACAAUGUUCCUUCAUCGUAUAAUGUUUCUACUCACAUUGAUCUUCCAGAAAACAAUUUAAUGCCUGCAAAUAUAGAUCAAACCUUGCUGCAAAGAACUAACUGCAAGAGCCUGAAUCAGGACUCGGUGAAGUCUGAAUCCCUGAUCAGCUUCACCACACAGACUAAUAUACUUCCACCUCAAAAUACAACAGAUAAUCAAACCCAGACAAUGGACCUGCUAAGUGAUCUGGAAAACAUCUUUUCAGGAAACAUGUCUGGCCAGACACUGGAUAAUCGUGGCCUUUUGUCCGAGACGAGUUCUAAUGCUGACACACAUCUGCCAUCUGGGCCCUCCCAGAGCACAGGGAUAGACUUUGACAUUGAAGAGUUCUUUUCAGCAUCCAAUAUCCAAACUCAGACUGAAGAGAGUGAGCUUGGUACCCUGAACUCUGAGCCAGUUUUGGAGUCACUGGACAUUGAAACUCAGACUGAUUUCUUAUUCUCAGAUAGUGCCACUCAAUCCUAUAACUGCCGGGGCAAUUCUAACUUCUUAGGUUUGGAGAUGUUUGAUACACAGACACAGACAGACCUGAAUUUCUUUUUGGACAGUACUACCCACCUGCCUUUAGGAAGCAUUCUGAAGCAGUCCAGUUUCUCCAUGAGCACUGACUCAUCUGAUACAGAAACCCAGACAGAAGUGUACGUGGCUACUAAAACCACACCUACUCAGAAUAUUGAAAGCAAAGUCCAGCUCAGCAGUGCUGAGACACAGACUAUGGACAGCUGCUUUGAGAACCUGGGCAGUUUAUUCCUCACCAGCAAUGAGACACAGACAGCAAUGGAUGAUUUCCUUCUGGCUGACUUAGCCUGGAAUACGAUGGAGUCCCAGUUCAGCUCAGUGGAAACACAGACCUGUGAAGAGCUGUGCUCCUUGUUCCAGAGCUCUGACAAGCCCAGCCACUGAGUGCUACGUGAUUUAACUGUUCCCUGUGGUUUGAAUUUAACUUAUUGGGGUGGGAGGUAAUGGCUUUACCAAGUGAUCCACUUUGCAUCAUUGAAUGUAGUUGUCAUGAGCAGUUGACCUAAGAGACUUUUCAUGCUGAAGGUACUCUCUUGAAUAUGUAACUUGACAUAAACUAUGUGUGUAUAAAUGGGGGGGAAGGGAGGGGGCUGUAACAUGUCGAUGUACAUUUGAACCUUAAAAAUUAUGUGGUGCCUAUGUUUUUUCCUCAAACUUCUUUACAAAGCUGUUACUGCUUUCAUUUAAAUGGAAGAACUUUUUGAAGUUGUUCUCUCUCUCUCUCUCUCUAUUCCUGGCUUCCAUGCAGGGUUCCCAUGUGCUGGACCAAAACCCUGACCUGUUCAGUUGAGAUGCUUCCCUGAACUUAUGGGGGAGGAUUCUAUUUUUAGUGUAAGCUACUUCUGUUUACUUUUUUUAGUAGCUUGUAUUUUAAAUCCGGCAUGAACAUAAUAAGCCGUAUUGUCUUCUUUUACUUUCUGCCUUCACAGCUCUUUCUCCUGCAUAAGCUGGCACUUCCCAAAUACCUGUCCUACACACUAGACACAUAGAGAUUCUCGAAUUGUUGAACAUAUUUAUUAUUAAAAAUAUCUAGAAAGCAGUACCUUUUUUUUUUCUCUCCCUGAGUGGCACUGAUGCCCUUUGAAGGGUAGGAAAAGAACUUGGAGUUCAUUGUUCUAGGGAAAAUUAGUAUGUAGUCCUUUUAGCUAAGGUAAUAAAUGGGACUAACGUUUUUAGAGUCUCCAGGGGGGAUUUGCUUAAAUUAUUUCUGUCUGUAAGAUACAAAUGUUACAAUGUGUGUGCCUCAGAGACUGGAAUCAUUUGUUUUUGCUGAAGUUCUCCUAGCUUUAUUGAGAUACAAGUUGAGAAAUGUUACAGUGGUUUAUACCUCUAUUACCUUAACAGAAAUCUUUAAAAAUGGGAAAUUAAAUUCCUUAAAACACCCGCUCACCUCGACUCCUGCUUUUGGACUUCCUGCUUCCAAAACCAACUGGAAUCCAUACAGCAGAGCUGGGAAAUCAGCUCACAGAGGCCCUUUCACAACACCUCUAUCUUGCUUUUGCACGUUGAUUCGCAGCCCUCAGUUCCUGCAGCUUUUGGAGUUUCCCUGAGUGCAGUCAAAUUCACACAACUUGAUUUUUCAGAGAAGAAACACAUGACCUCUUGGAAUCUUUUUUUUUAAUGUUUAUGUUGCCCCUCCUGCCACUGUUUGUGGUAUUUUUUCAUUUGCGUGAGAAGACGUAAGUUGUGAAUGUAUGUUGGAAUUUGGCCUUAAGUAAUUUUUUAUCUCUUGCUAUAAUAUCUGUGAAAUGUAGGCCUCUGGUUUGGUCCUGGACAGGUUUUAGCUUCUGUAACCUUAAAGGAAGGAGAAACCUCUUCGUGUCAAACUCCUGGGCCUGUAACAGACUUUACUCCUCUGUUGUCAGAGGAGAAGUGCUGGCUGUGGAUUUACUGUGCAGCCCAGCAGCAGAGGGAUGUCCAAGCCUUAGGUUUUGAGGACUCACCAUGCUUUGUGCUGCACAUUCUCAACUCAAGGAUGUGGGAGUUAAGUUACUCAUCCAUUGCAGGCAGCUUGUUUUGGUUGAAAAUGAGCAGUACAUUUCUUCUUUCCUAUUUUUUGUCUCUUCCUAACACUCUUUAACUUGCCAUAGUUAACAUGCUGAUAUGGUGAGCAUCUCGACCUUUACUGGAAAUAAUUUCUUUAGAUUAACCCUGAAACUCCCAUUUUCCUCCUGAAAUCCCAGCUGUGUUGCCUGUUUAAUUUUUCAGCGUUUCUAGGUAGGAGUUCAGACACUUCCAGUCUUUGGCUGAAGAAACUGCAGAAAGGAAUCUUCAGUUCCCCAGGAGCACAGUAAUUCUGCUGUGGGGAAAGUCCCCCCGGGUUUCACAGUGUCUAGAGUUCUGAUCUGAAAGGUGGGAUAUAGUAAAAAAAGGAAGGCAUCACUUGUAAAUUUUGUUUCUUCUGAAGAUAUGACUAUUUUAUAUUUACCAGCCUCCUCUGAAGUUGGAAAAUAAGAUAACAAAAUUAAUUUAUUCUGUGUUUUUCUAGCAACGUUGCAUCUUUACAUUUCAAAAUGUUUUUCCUUCUCCUUUCUUCCCCUGGAUGGAAUACCAGAGAACACUUCUUCAUACCCAGGCUUCUGUGUUUCCCACAGAAAUGCCUGAAAGAGAAGGUGUUACUGUGAAUCUAGUUGGGGAAAAGGGUAUUUUCCUCAAGUGGCAGAAAUGAGAAACUCCUUUACCUCUGAAUGUAGAAAGUCAGUCUUUUUUUCUGCAAGAGAAGGAAUCUUAGGUGCUGAAGAGCAGAAUUGCAGAGAGGUUUGAGUUGUAGCCAUCUGAGAGACCAGCUGGCAUUUAAAGUGCUUUGAAACUAAUUUACAAAUUAGAGUGAGAAUUGCCACAGUUCUUAAUUCUUAACAUUGGGGACCUCCAGAAAAAAACCCCACAGGUUUGUGUGGACAACUUUACAAUGUAAUCAUUGCCCAGUUAUUGUACUUUGUAAUUAAAAGUAUUUGUGAGCUUUGUUUGCUUUACUAGAAUGUGCACAUCAGAAUCAUUUCGCUCAUCCUGUGGGUUUAAAAUAGUUUGAACUUUAAUUCAGUGAACACAGUACUACAACAUGAAAUCAUUUACUGAAAGUGCAGUAGUAAAAAGUAAUUAAAUAUGUGUGCACUGUCUUAGGGAAGUGACUCAUUAACGUUUUUCUUCGCAAAUUUGGUUCUCUGUAAAUUAUUCACAGAAGUCAGAAACGGGUCUGGAUCCUGUGUUGCUGGCUUAAGUCACUCAGUUUGCAUUUAUUAAGUAUUUUUGUGAAAAUGUGGAGACUGCAACCAGACUUCACAGUCUGGUGAAUCCCACAGUAAACAUCAUGAAACCUGAUCUGAAAUACUGGGGCUGAAUAUUGCAAUUUUUUCACAUCUGAACAAGUUCUUGGAAAAGGCUAAUUUUCUAUUUUCACCAUGAUUUUCAAAAUAAACUUCAGUCAGAACUAUUUCUUGGUAGAACUAAAAUGAUACUUAUCUCCCUUUUUCUGCAGUUUGUCUCUGAUUUGGUUUGCAAGGCACUGUCUUAUUGUAAGUAUUGGUCAGUGACUGACUCCUUUGCUUACUCCCUUCUGUAUCCUCUGCUGCCAUUAGAGCUGCUCUUCAGAAAGUAACAUCAGAUUCUCCACAGCCUUUUAGCACAAUUGUGUAUCUGGAAGUGAUACUAAUGUUACUUGUGCUUACUCUGUGCAUUUUCUGCUUAAUUCCAUUAUGCUGUGAUUGCUGGAUCUUGAUCUGGGUGCCUGUGUAAUGCUAUUCUAAAACUGAAUUAGUAGUUUUGUAGUUUGAUUUGAGCUUUUCUUUAGUAUAUAAAGAUUCAAACAAAGGAAACAGCAAAUUUGGGACUUGCAUUCUAUGAGAGCAUAAGCACAAACAAGCUGAAAAAUGAAACGUCUGUCUUUUUGCCUCCCAUAUUUGUUUGUCACAAUGCUAAAGGUUUGUAUGACAGUAGAUGUUUCUUCUACUUGUGGCUUUAUUUGCAUCUCUUUCUGCUAAUACACUUUUAAAUACUUCCUGCUGGGGGUAGGGAGGGAGUCCCCCCCAACUCUUUGUGUUGGCCUAGAGAAAUUGGUAGUUUUAAGUCAGAGUUUGCUAAUGCUACACAUUCUUAGCUAUGCAAAGCUGCUUGUGUCUAGAAAAUUUUAACUUCCAAAGGAUAUGAAAGCAUUAAAAAAAACGUGUAUAUACCUGCAGCUGUAAAUUAAACAGCUGUAAACCAAGUCUUGUGAGACCUCAUCUAGUUUUAACAAUCCAAUCAGUGUCUGUAAUUAAUGUAUGUAACUAACUCCUCACAGAUUUUUAUUCCAAGGCUCAUACACAGUCAAUUUUUUCUGUUGAAAACAAGAGGCUGAAUUUCCCUGUUUGUCACACGGACCUUGAUUGUGUAGGGGCAGCAGAACAAAGAAUGCCUUCCACUGUUCUCAGUCCUUGUGCUGCUGGCACGUGCUCAUGGGCUGAAUUGAUUUUCUUAAGAGGCUGGGUAGAAAUGUAAGUGUUGGCAGGAUUGGGGUCUUAAGGGGUUAGGAGAUUUUUUUUUUUUAAUAUCCUUUCAAAUGUAGGGUAAGUCAGUAGAACUGAUACUGAAUCAACUUAGGGUGCUCAACUUGCAAAAGAACACGUUCCUGAAAUGACAGCUCAGAGGUGAACCAAAUGUACUUGCCUUUGUUGUUAAGGUUGUACAGCUUCCUUUGCUUUAAUAUAUUUCUGACAUGUGCUGGUUUUUUAAACAUGAUCUUAAUGUACAAUUUACUGUUCCAAAUACAUUCACACCAAAAUGUUGGUAACAUUCUGGGCCUUGCAAGCUUUUUUUCAUUCCUUUUUGGUUUAAGAUGCUGCUAUGACGUGUCCUGGUAGAAUGGACCUGCAUUUAGUAACUAUGAACACUAAGAGGAUGUUUAAUGGUAGCAAACUUCAGUGCGAGGUGCAAACGUGCAUCCUCUGUUUCUUUUGUUGUUUUUGAAGAGUUGAUGUGAUUUUCAAGGUGUGCUGGAAGGACUUGCUGCUUAGGGCACGACUGAAUUCUCCUGUUUAAAAUGCCAUUGCUAUGCAAUGAACAGAAGCCAGCCCUGAGCUCUGCAGUCGGGGUUGGGGUUUGUGUGAGGGAACGUUUGUGUUUUUGUGAGGGAAUGUUUGGGUUCUUGUGUGUGGCUCUUCCACUUCCCUUCAGAUGUCACGGACAGCCCGGGUCGGGGGAAGCUCCUGAAGGAACUGCUGAGUGGAAUGACAGAAGUCCCUUUAUUUGUGACCCUUUUUGGCUUUACAGAACCUUCAACAAUAUAAUAGAUGACUUGUGGUGAUGCAAACUGUGCAUUUCACAACAGCCAGUGCUUUACAUGCCUGCUUCAAGCACCUGCAUGCAGAGCUAGAGUGACAGCACUUCUAUCUACAGUUGCCAUGCUUAGCAACGACCCCACCAUUUUCUGUUAGUUGGAGGAUACAAAAUGCUGAUUUCUAUUGUUCCCUGUAAAUCUUGUGUGUGUGAGUCAGAGGAGGUGACUGAGCUCCAUCAGCUGUAGCCAUGAGUGAAGCAUUCCCAGGUGGACAACAGCAGGCUGUGUUCAGUCCUGUCCUGCCCCAAGUGAGAGUGUCCCUGCCUGGUUUGGGUUCAGUUCCUGGAUUUCCUUCACUUGAAGGAAUUGCAUGCUGGCAAGCUGAUUGUUUUCUCUCAGAACAAUGGAAUUAGAGGCACAUUUUCCUUCUGGCUCCAGGAUUUGACAGCGAGUCCUCUGGAUUUAGUCCUUUGAAAGUUUGGACCUAAAACAAUAGGAGAAAAAUGUUGAUUUAACUUUCAGGUGUUCCAUCAUUGUAUUUGUAAUUGUUGUCAACAGUUCACUUGUUGUGUUUUGGCACCUUGGAUGCAGGAAGCACUUCUGGCUGGUCCAGCCCUCAACUUGAUUUCCUUUCCUUGAACAGGAAUGGUGUUUUUCUUGAGAGGACUCACACAAAAACAAGAAGCUGCUGUUUCCUGUGCUAGAGGAACCCAGUGUGUUCAAGGGCACAUCACUUGAUGGCUGAAGUGUUGUGGGUUUGUUUCUUUGUGUUCUAGGCCUUUACUCAGCAGCUUUUCUGGCCUUUUGCUCCAGGUCCUGUAGCAAUAAUCUGUGACUGUGGUUCAUAGGAAUGUUAUCUUCCAUUUUUGUGGUAAAACCUCUGUCUAAUCUGUCUGAUUUGACAUUGAAAAACUACAUUGAUGCACACAUUUAUUGG